rnacentral:pre_miRNA from 1 species
AGGGGGAGGCCGGAUCCUGGGCUGUGUCCCGGCGCCCUGUGCUCCGGGGCCUGCGCUGUUGGAUUCGCGCUCCCGCCCCGCAGCCCCCU